GAUGAACGCUAGCGGCAGGCCUAACACAUGCAAGUCGAGGGGUAGCAGGAUUAAGCUUGCUUAAUUGCUGACGACCGGCGCACGGGUGCGUAACGCGUAUGCAACCUACCUUAUACUGGGGUAUAGCCCGGAGAAAUUCGGAUUAAUCCCCCAUAGUACUAAUGAAUCGCAUGGUUUAUUAGUUAAAGCAUUGCGGUAUAAGAUGGGCAUGCGUCCUAUUAGCUAGAUGGUGAGGUAACGGCUCACCAUGGCUACGAUAGGUAGGGGGCCUGAGAGGGUGGUCCACCACACUGGUACUGAGACAAGGACCAGAAUCCGACGGGAGGCAGCAGUGAGGAAUAUUGGUCAAUGGGCGCAAGCCUGAACCAGCCAUGCCGCGUGCAGGAAGAAUGCCCUAUGGGUUGUAAACUGCUUUUAUUUGGGAAUAAACCUCUUUACGUGUAGAGAGCUGAAGGUACCAAAUGAAUAAGCACCGGCUAACUCCGUGCCAGCCGCCGCCGUAA
rnacentral:rRNA from 1 species